rfam:Nomascus leucogenys chromosome 3, whole genome shotgun sequence.
AAAAUGGCCUUUUUUGAGGCCAAAAAAGUUUAUUUAAAACGUUUAA